CACGUAGGGCGCAAGCGUUGUCCGGAAUUAUUGGGCGUAAAGAGCUCGUAGGCGGUCUGUUACGUCUGCUGUGAAAACCCGGGGCUUAACCCUGGGCUUGCAGUGGAUACGGGCAGACUAGAGGCAGGUAGGGGAGAAUGGAAUUCCCGGUGUAGCGGUGAAAUGCGCAGAUAUCGGGAGGAACACCGGUGGCGAAGGCGGUUCUCUGGGACGGUACUGACGCUGAGACGCGAAAGCGUGGGUAGCAAACAGG
rnacentral:rRNA from 1 species